GAAUAAUGAUCGGGUCAAAAUUUAAUCUCAUCGUCUACUUUUUUAUCUGAAAACACUUUGUGUUCACACCCAUAAAGGGACAUGAUGUAGACACCUAAUUUUAUCCCUCCCGAAGUCCAAUUCAUCCAUUUUUACCUCACGUUAUCAUACACUCUCACCCAUAUGAUUAUACCCCACAAAAAUACAAAAAAAAAAUUAAUAAAUCUCUAACAAAUUAUAUCCCUAAUAUUCUCUUAUUCUAACAAACUUUAUCUCAACCAACUCACACCCCUCACCCACCUCAUCACCACAUACCCCACGUACCCUACCUCUACCCCUACCCAUUCUCACGUUUUUCACCCCUUUUUCACCUCAACUAAUUUGGGACAUGAGAAUUUACAGAUAGAACACAUCAUCUCAUAUAUACACACAAUUAGCAAUACACAGAAUACACUACACAUAUCCAAUUUUCCAUUUCACAGAAUUCCAUACAUACACAGAUCCUCCAUUUUUUACACUCACCUCACACCAUUAACACACAACUCACAUCAUUGAAAUCCACACAUCACACACACAGUAGAGAAUUUCAUGCACACACACUCAAGAUUACAAUACAUUCACAGUAACAUAAGGAAAAAAGAGGAGUAGGAAGAAAUUGGGGAAGGAGAUACAGUGAGCAAAAAAUGGAGAGAAAAAUUAGUGAGAGGGAGAUCGGGUAAGGGAGUAAUCCACAUACACACGCACGACAGAAAAACAAUGAUCGAAAAAUGGGAGAAACUUCGACGGGUGAACGAAAAUCGAGGAGGUUGACGAAAAUCCGGCAGUGUUGAUUUUUUUGGUGAAUCUCUCACCGAAAUACACUUUUCACCGCCGAACUCGCUCGAUUUGAUUUAAUUCCAUAAAUUUUCACAUACGAGUUUGGGUGUUUGUCGUGAUUUCUGCUUUGAACGCUCCGGUUGCUCGUACUAGUUUGGGUUUUGGGUUCUAUUUGUCUCGAUUGGUUCAUCAUCAUCGUUUCUUGGUUCAUCAGUCUUCGUCUUCUUCUUGGUUUAAAUCUGUCCGAUAGUUAUUUUUCAAUAUCGAGUUGAUUUCGUGGUUGAGGUUUUGUCGUUCGAGGCAUUCAGGUUGAAGCUCUAAUCACAUACUUUUGACGAGUUGAAAUAAAAAUUGAGGGAAUCCCCGAAGAAAAGUGUAUUUAUUUACCGGGGAAUGCCCUAACGUAUCCUGUUUUCGAAGGAGGUUCGUGAUCAAGGCCCAAGGCAUCGGGUAAAGCAUUGGAGCGUAGUUUAGGAUUAGUAUAGGUUAGCGUAGAUUUAUACUUACACAUUUUUCUACUUUGGGACUGUAUAAUUGGACUGGACAUUAUAUUUUUGGAUUGAUUUUGUUUCGUUUGUUUGAUUGAUUGUUUUGUGUGGUUUAUA